rnacentral:rRNA from 1 species
UACAGAGGGUGCGAGCGUUACUCGGAAUUACUGGGCGUAAAGCGCGCGUAGGCGGCUUUGCAAGUCGGGUGUGAAAUCCCCAGGCUUAACCUGGGAACUGCAUUCGGGACUGCAUUGCUAGAGUAUGGGAGAGGGAAGUGGAAUUUCAGGUGUAGCGGUGAAAUGCGUAGAUAUCUGAAGGAACAUCAGUGGCGAAAGCGACUUCCUGGACCAAUACUGACGCUCAUGUGCGAAAGCGUGGGGAGCAAACAGG